GACAGAGGAUGCAAGCGUUAUCCGGAAUUAUUGGGCGUAAAGAGCUCGUAGGCGGUUUGUCGCGUCUGCUGUGAAAACGCGAGGCUCAACCUCGCGCCUGCAGUGGGUACGGGCAGACUAGAGUGCGGUAGGGGAGAUUGGAAUUCCUGGUGUAGCGGUGGAAUGCGCAGAUAUCAGGAGGAACACCGAUGGCGUAGGCAGAUCUCUGGGCCGUAACUGACGCUGAGGAGCGAAAAGCGUGGGGAGCGAACAGG
rnacentral:rRNA from 1 species